UGAGGAAUAUUGGUCAAUGGUCGAGAGACUGAACCAGCCAAGUCGCGUGAAGGAAGACGGUUCUAUGGAUUGUAAACUUCUUUAGUCGGGGAGCAAAAAGAGUGACGUGUCACCAAUUGAGCGUACCCGAAGAAUAAGCAUCGGCUAACUCCGUGCCAGCAGCCGCGGUAAUACGGAGGAUGCGAGCGUUAUCCGGAUUUAUUGGGUUUAAAGGGUGCGUAGGCGGUUUAUCAAGUCAGCGGUUAAAUGUCCGGGCUCAACCCUGGCCUGCCGUUGAAACUGAUGAACUGGAGAUAGUGUGGAGUAUGCGGAAUGCGCAGUGUAGCGGUGAAAUGCAUAGAUAUUGCGCAGAACUCCGAUCGCGAAGGCAGCAUACUAACACUAAUCUGACGCUGAGGCACGAAAGCGCGGGUAUCGAACAGGAUUAGAUACCCUGGUAGUCCGCGCAGUAAACGAUGGAUACUUGCCUUAUGUUGAGAAUGAUUGAUGUGAGGCGCAGCGAAAGCGUUAAGUAUCCCACCUGGGGAGUACGCCGGCAACGGUG
rnacentral:rRNA from 1 species